rnacentral:rRNA from 1 species
UUGGAGGGCAAGUCUGGUGCCAGCAGCCGCGGUAAUUCCAGCUCCAAUAGCGUAUAUUAAAGUUGUUGCAGUUAAAAAGCUCGUAGUUGAAUUUCGGGAUUUGUCAGUUGGUCGGGCUUCACUGUCCGUAUUGACUUGAUGGAUUCUUACCUUCUGAAUAACCAGCAUGCUAUUAAGUUAGUGCGUUGGGGAAGCAGAUCUAUUACCUUGAAAAAUUAGAGUGCUUAAAGCGAGCUAGUGCUUGAAUAGAUUAGCAUGGAAUAAUAAAAUAGGACGGCAUGGUUCUAUUUUGUUGGUUUCUAGGAUCACCGUAAUGAUUAAUAGGGAUAGUUGGGGGCAUUAGUAUUCAAUUGUCAGAGGUGAAAUUCUUGGAUUUAUUGAAGACUAACUUCUGCGAAAGCAUUUGCCAAGGAUGUUUUCAUUAAUCAAGAACGAAAGUUAGGGGAUCGAAGACGAUCAGAUACCGUCGUAGUCUUAACCAUAAACUAUGCCGACUAGGAAUCGGACGAUGUUAAUUUAUAAAUGAC